rnacentral:lncRNA from 1 species
CAAAAAAUACAAAAAUUAUCCGGGUGUGGUGGUACGCACCUGUAGUCCCAGCUACUCAGGAAGCUGAAGUGGUAGGAUUGCUUGAACCCGGGAGGUGGAGGCUGCAGUUAGCUGUGAUCGCAUCACUGGACUCCAGCCUAGGCAACAAAGCGAGGCUCUGCCUCAAAAAAGAAAAAGAAAAGAAAAGAAAAAUGCUAUUAAAGUGUUAAAUCACAAAAUGAGUCAUACUUUGUAAAUUUUGUUUUUCACUUUGCUAUAUUUCAAACACAUUCCCAUCUUAUUAUACUACUUCAGUGAUACUAUCCUGUUUUAUAUGAAUAUGUCACAAUUUCCUUUGCCAAUAUCUAAUCACUUUUGCCCCACAUUUAAGUAGUGAGAAACAAUUUCACCAUAACAUCCUUGUAACUAAAUAUCUGUGUACUUUUAAAAUUUCCUUAAGAUCUAUUUCUAGACCUGAAAAUGCUAUGCCAAAGAUUUGUAGGUUUUUAGAGCAGAUUUUUAUGGCAUUUUUAAUGUAUGCUAAAUUCUCCUCCAGAAAGUUUGUACCACAUUUUUUUCCCACGAGCAGUGUUUAAGAGGUUAGAUUUUCCUCUCCCUUGAUAAUACCUGAUAUUUUAUUUUUACUUGUGCAUCUAAACAUUUUCUUGUCAGGUAUUCAUGUCUUAUUAAUUACCUGCUUUGAGUUUUUUACUUUAAAAUAUUUAUUUUUCUUAUUAAUUGAUAAAAUCUUGUAUAUUAAAGAUAAUAGUCCCC